UCUAUCUGCAUAUUAAUUAAGAUGCUAUUAAUGCAGUGACUCAAAAUUGCUUCUCUUUUGCAGAAACCUAAGAUUACAGAAAGGGGUGAAUCUGGCAUUCCACGAAUUGUUUGUGAGCAUAACUGUGGUCCAGAGGGCAUCUCAUCAGAUGAAAAGCCAUGCCUCCGGCGAAUUUACCGGGUCUUGCACUACUAUGAGGACGGUAUACGUCAGGUGUUUCACCCGAGUGACCAGGCUGAAGUCUUGGAAGAACCUUGGCUAAGCAAAAGUAGGAAGGACACAUACAGAAUUCGAAACACCAUAAAACACAUACUGCAUUGCCUCAAACAUAAAGGAUAUGGACUGGAUAUUACGGAGGAUAAACUUGACCUGCCUUUUAGUCCAAUCACUGUAGAGAAGAUUGCAUUCAGGAUUAU